UCCGGUAUGGUGUAUCGGUAACAUAUGUGCUUUUCAUCAGAUUGAUCGGUACGAUUCGCACGUGCGCGGGGUUCGAUUCCCCGUACCGGAA